rnacentral:lncRNA from 1 species
GCUUGAAGAAUAAAAUAAAAAAAUGGGCCAAUGUUGCACAAUCCAGGUGUGAAAAGCUCUUAAAGACUUACCCAGAAAGCCUCACAACUGUAAUCACUGCCAAAGGUGCUUCCACAAAGUAUUGACUGAGGUGUGAAUACUUAUGGAAAUGAGAUAUUUCUGUAAUUCAUUUUCAAUAGAUUUGCUCAAGUCACAUCUUCUUCUGCUCCUCCCUUCCGGCGUACGACGUCGCCAGAAUACUAACCACCGGUCCUGGGAUUCAUCAUUACGCGCACCUGGCACUCAUCAUUACGCGCACCUGUUAAUCAUUAUGAUUCACACCUGGACUCCAUUACCUUCAUCAUUUCCUCCCCUUUAUAUGUCACUCCCUUAUGUUUUCUCACCAGUUGGUAUUGUUUGUGUUUACUGGCGUUGAAAUGGAAUUGUCUCGUUACUGAUUUUUUGGUUGUUUUUUUUUAACAUUUCAUUGCUUCCUGCUUCCCGACUCACAGCUCCGUUAUUACCAACUCAAACUAUCGAAGCAGCAGGAAAAUCGGAAAUCUCUCAGACGGUCGACGAACAAGCGUACCUUCUACGUCAACGCCAUAACCAGCUGGCUCAACUGGGGACGGCCGUGGAAGAGGUUCUCCGAGAGACGCUGCAUCCCAGUAUCGGAGGAAACUCUAGAGCCAGUCUACCCAACGAGCCAGCGCAACGGCCCAUUCAACAACCCACUCAGGUCAGCGACGCCCGUCUAUCCCUGCCGGAUGAAUACGACGGUACACCAUCCAAAAUGCCGUGGCUUCCUCCUUCAGUGCGUCCUCUAUUUUUCAACCAAUUGGGAGCCCCCACCACCGAGAGAUCUAAGGUUGCCAUGGUUAUUUCUCUGCUGACCGGGCGGGUAUUGGAAUGGGCUACGGCCGUCUGGGAGAGAGGAGAGGAGGAGCUAGAUUCUUAUGAGGGGUUCAUGGCUCUGUUUUAAAUGUAUUUUUGAUCAUCCCGCGGAGGUCAGAGAGGGAGGUGAGCGUCUGCUUCAGCUACAGCAGGGGAAUCAGACGGCUGCUGAGUAUGUGCUUAACUUCCGGACAGUAGCAGCUUCCACUAGAUGGAAUGAGCCGGUGCUUCACACGCUAUUCAGAAGAGGUCCAGACAGAACUGGCCUGUUGGGAUGACUACCUCACCCUGGACACACUCAUUGCGAUGGCCAUCCGCCCCGAUAACCUCCUCCGGGAGCGUUGGUAUUCUCAUCGCUUCUUUCCCUCCUUCGGCAAAUAUUCGGGAUGAGAGCCUGAACCCAUGGAGGUAAGGGUCACACGCCUUUCUGUGGCAGAACGACGCAGACAGAUACAGCUGGGGCUAUGUCUGGAUUGUGGGCAAGGAGGGCACAAGCUCCAGCGGAGUCCGGUACUUCAGGAUCCACUAGAGCAGAGGGACGGUCACGUGAUGUUCCAUCCCCUGGACCAGGAGUGAGUAUUCUAGAUUCAGCUCUUCCUGCUAGACUCUUUUUGGUGUCCAUCACUCUGGCUGACUGUCCCUCAUGCCCUGUGUCUACAGCUUCAGUGGAUUCCGGCGCCGCGGGAAACUUUAUGGAUCAGACCCUUGCCUCCUCCCUCAACAUUACCAUCUAUCAGCUCUCCUCUCCUUUUCGAAGACUCGACUGUCGGCCCAUAAGGAUCUGGGACCAUCACACACAUCACUCAACCACUCACCCACUCACUUCGUGGAGUCCAAUCAACAGGAGAACAUGUCUUUCUUCAAUACAAGUGCACCAGGUCACAAAAUCAUCCUCGGCCUCCCUUGGCGCCAAUGCCAUAACCCUAUUAUCUCAUGGUUGAGGAGGAAAAUCAGACUCAUCUGAAUGCCGGUAGACCUGCAUCCCUGUUCCACGUCGGUUGAGAGUCCAAUGGUUGCCCUUCAGCCCAACAUCCCAGAGGAAUACCAGGACCUUAAAGUGGUAUUCUCCAAGACCCGCGCUACUUGUCUCCCUCCUCCUCAUCGCCCCUGGGACUGUGACAUCGACCUGUUUUCCGGUGCUACACCUCCACGCAAACACAUCUACCCUCUGUCUGUGGCUAAGACCCAGGCCAUGGAGGCCUGCGUCUGCUGGGUUCUUCUUCGUGGCCAAGGAGGGAGGAUUACGCCCAUGUAUCGUUUACCGAGGACUCAAUGACAUCACCAAGAAGUAUUGGUACCCUCUCCCGUUGGUGCCGUCAGCCAUAGAGCAGCUCUGCAGGGCCCGGUUCUUCACCAAACUGGACCUGCGGAGUGCCUACAAUCUCAUCCACAUCCGGGAGGGGGAUGAGUGAAAGACGGCGUUCAGCACAAUCUCUGGUAACUACGAGUAUUUGGUUAUGCCCUUUGGCUUAGCCAAUUCUCCGUCAGUGUUCCAGGCAUUCGUCAAUGAGAUGUUCAGGGACAUGCUCGGACGGCAGAUGAUUGUAUACAUCGAUGACAUCCUGAUCUUCUCGACCAACCUGAAAGAUCACAUCACCCACGUCCGAGCAGUCCUGGAACGCCUCUUGGUCAAUCACUUGUUCGUCAUGGCGGAGAAGUGCCAAUUCCAUCAGAGGGCUGUAUCCUUCCUGGGUUACCAAAUCAGCCCGCAGGGAGUGAGGAUAGAGGACAAGAAGAAAUUGUCCUCCGCAGAGAGGAAUUACGACGUCUGCGAUCGGGAGCUCCUGGCGGUGAAGUUGGCAUUAGAGGAGUGGAGACACUGGCUGGAGGGCGCCAAGGAACCAUUCGUCAUCCUCACCGACCAUCAGAACCUAGAGUACAUACGGACAGCGAGGAGACUGAUUCCGCGCCAAGCCAGGUGGCACAUUUCUCCACCUGGUUCGACUUCACGCUGACCCAUCGCCCAGGUUCUAAGAACAUCAAGGCCGAUGCCCUGUCCCAUAUCUACGUUUCGGGAGAAGUUACUGUCCAGAAGGCACCCAUAAUCCCAUCCUCCCGAGUCGUGGAUCCAGUGGUUUGGGACGUAGAUGUGGACAUCCGCCAGGCUCUAGAGGGAGCCUGCAUCCCGAGCGUAUCUACGUUCCCAAAGGGGGUAAGGGAUCGGCUGCUGACCUGGGCACACACAGCUGUCGUUGCUGGACAUCCAGGUAUUUAUCGCAACAUCCACUCCAUUGCUGAGAAGAACUGGUGGCCUGUCUUGGUGCAGGAUGUCACUCGGUAUGUCAGCUCCUGUUCCAUUGGUGCUCAAACCAAGUCCCCCCGGAAUGCUCCAGCAGGGAAGCUCCUGCCGCUUCCCAUGCCUCAGCAACCUUGGUCACAUCUAUCCAUUGACUUUGUAACCGCGUCUGGUUCUCUACCAGGAACCUCCCACUCUGCCUGCCCUGCAAGAAACUGGUUUGUGUGGCCGGUCAAGGUUCUCUGGAGGGUCAACGAGGUGACGUACAGGUUACAACUACCCAGUCACUAUCGCAUCUCACCCUCUUCAUGUCUCCCUUCUCUGGCCGGUGGUUCCUGGUCCCCUAGCUGAUACUGUCUGCCACGACACUCACCCCGGAUAUUGAGGGGGGGUCCGGCGUACGCUGUCAGAUCCCUACUUGACUCCCGACGUUGUUGGGGUUGGCUCCAGUACCUGGUGGCCUGGGAGGGGUAUGGCCCAGAGGAGCGGUGUUGGUUUCCGUUGGAGGACAUUCUGGACCCCAAACAUCAUCCGUGAUUUCCACCUUCGCCGCACGGACCAACCCGCUCCUCGGGGUCGUCCCCCUGGUUGGCGUCGUCCUGCGUCUGGAGCCGCGCAUCAGAGGGGGACGGACAGACGGGUACUGUCACAUCUACGCCUCCCCUCUGGCGUACGACGUUGCCAGAAUACUAACCACAGGUCCUGGCACUCAUUACGCACACCUGUUAAUCAUUAUGAUUCACACCUGGGCUUCAUUUCCUUCCCUCCCUUAUGUUUUCUCACCUGUUGGUAUUGUUCUCGUUUACCGGCGUGUAGCCUUACGGAAUUAUCUCAUUCCUGGUUUUGUUAUAAUUAAACGUUUCACCUGCACCUGCUUCCCGACUCAGCUCUGUUAUUACAGCUAAAAUGUCUAAAAACAUGUUUUCACUUCGUCAUUAUUGGGUGUAGAUGGGUGAGAGAAAAUGUACUUCAUC